rnacentral:rRNA from 1 species
UACGUAGGGGGCUAGCGUUGUCCGGAAUUAUUGGGCGUAAAGAGCUCGUAGGCGGUCUGUCGCGUCUGCUGUGAAAACUCAGGGCUUAACCCUGAGCUUGCAGUGGGUACGGGCAGACUAGAGUGUGGUAGGGGAGACUGGAAUUCCUGGUGUAGCGGUGAAAUGCGCAGAUAUCAGGAGGAACACCGAUGGCGAAGGCAGGUCUCUGGGCCAUAACUGACGCUGGAGAAGCGAAA